CAAAUAUUCCCUCCGUCCGAAAAUACUUGUCAUCAAAAUGGAUAAAAGGAAAUGUAUCUAGACGUAUUUUAGUUUUAGAUACAUCUCUUUUUAUCCAUUUUGAUGACAAGUAUUUUCGGACGGAGGGAAUAGAAA
rnacentral:pre_miRNA from 1 species